rnacentral:rRNA from 1 species
GCUUAACGCGAAGAACCUUACCAAGGCUUGACAUGCAUCUCUAAGCGCGUGAAAGCGCGUGACCCUUCGGGGAAUUUGCACAGGUGCUGCAUGGCCGUCGUCAGCUCGUGUCGUGAGAUGUUGGGUUAAGUCCCGCAACGAGCGCAACCCUUGUGACUAGUUGCCAGCACGUUAAGGUGGGAACUCUAGUCAGACUGCCCAGAUCAACUGGGAGGAAGGUGGGGACGACGUCAGGUCAGUAUGGCCCUUACGCCUUGGGCUGCACACGUACUACAAUGCCCAGCACAAUGAGAACCGAUACCGCGAGGUGGAGGAAAUCUGCAAAACCUGGGCUCAGUUCGGAUUGGAGGCUGCAACUCGCCUCCAUGAAGUUGGAAUCGCUAGUAAUGCCGUAUCAUCUACGACGGCGUGAAUACGUUCCCGGG